UGUCUGGGAAGACCCUGCGUGGCUUCGAUUCCGGCGCCUGCGUGUCACCAGCCUAGCGUGGCCGGGGAAGCUGGCCCAGAGCCGCGGGCCCCCCAGGUCGUUGGCCGCUACCACCUCAAAUGCCACUUCUCCGGAAGACGCAUCCCUGCGCUCUUGAAACUGGCAAGCCUUAUUAGUGUCUGCGAACUGAGAUGCAGUGUGUGAGUACAAAGAAAGAGCAAGAAAUCCGGCCCUUGGCCCUGUUGGGCAGGGUCUUAACGUAGUAUUUUCUGCUCAGAUCAUCUAAAGCCCAAACCUUCUGGGGCUGUGUGGCAAAGACUUGGCAAUGAUCUACACAGAGCUAGGAUUGUACAGUUGUCUCAUCAUUUGGGGACUCUUUAAGUAACCUUAGCCAAAUUGUGAUCUCCUUAAUGGUGAAGUUCUUAAUGUUAAUUCAACUCACAUUAAUUAAUGCUUUGAGGUGCUUGUGCAUACUGCGAUGGUUUACAGUCACUCAUCUUUGUGUCCUCACCGUAGAACAAUGUGGUCAGCGUGUAACGUAAAAGAUGCUCAGUGACUAUGAACAUCAGGAACUUGCUGCGGGAUGAAACACCUUCAUUACGAUUUUUCAUAAUAAAAUGAAGAUUUUUAUUUA